rnacentral:rRNA from 1 species
GAUGAACGCUGGCGGCGUGCUUAACACAUGCAAGUCGAACGAACAGGCGCCCUUGUUGGGUACCUGAGUGGCGAACGGGAGGGUAACGCGACAGUAACCUACCCUUGCCAUUGGGCUAAGUUAAGGACACUGGGGCGAAUCCCGUACCGGAGCACCUGCUGCAUGGUGUGGGUUGGUAAGUUUGGGCGGUUGUGGUUGGACUCGCGGCUUAUCAGCUUGUUGGUGGGGUAGUGGCUCACGAAGCCGCUGACGGGUAGCCGGCAUGGGAGGGUGACCGGCCACAUUGCGACUGAGAUACGGACCAGAAUCCUACGGGAGGCAGCAGUGGGGAAUAUUGCACAAUGGGCGGAAGCCUGAUGCAGCAACGCCGCGUGCGGGAUGACGGCCUUCGGGUUGUAAACCGCUUUCGCCUGUGACGAAGCGUGAGUGACGGUAAUGGGUAAAGAAGCACCGGCUAACUACGUG